ACAACAAUUAGGUAAGUACAGAAGUUGGAUGUCUUCAGGAACCCAGUCAUUAAUGCUGAGUUCAAAAACUUUAAACAUGAUUUUGCCUCCAGAUUAUCACUUUGCAACUGGAAACAAUCAAGAAAUACAUGGCUUUCAUUAACUGCAGACAAGAACAGGAUACUUCCAUCAGCCGAUUUUUGAUACAGAAUAUAGAAUGAUUUGGCUUGUGGGAAAAUGGGAGCCCCCUGUUUUGGGACCAGACUGACUAAAAAUGACAACGUAGUCUGAACAAUGGUACAGGACAUGGCAGAAAGAUAAUACAAUUUGCAUUGUCACAAGUGAAAAUAUAUUACAUAUAAAAAAAAGUUUGAAGCUCCAAUAAUCAAUAAACAACCAAUUUCCUUUG